rnacentral:lncRNA from 1 species
UGGUAAUAAGAUUCAGAUGUUCAGGUCUGAUAAUGGUUCAGAAUACACCUCUAAUGAUUUCAAGCCUAUCUGUGACGAAGCUGAAAUUCAACAUCAACUCACUACACCUUACACACCUCAACAAAAUGGGGUAAGUGAGAGGAAAAAUCGGUCGAUUAUGGAAAUGGUGGGGUGUCUGAUCCAUGAGAAGAAUCUCCCCAAGAGUUUAGGAGCGGAGGCUGCGAGUACUGCAGUGUUCUUACAAAAUUGUUGGCCCAGCAAUGCUAUAGAGAUCACUACUCCAUAUGAAGCUUGGCAUGGUACAAAACCCUCUCUCAGUUUUUUGAAGAUCUUCGGUUGCAUCUGCGAUGUUCAUAUGCCUUCCGUUAAGUGUGAUAAGCUUGACAAGAAAGCAUCACUGGGUAUCUUUGUUGGUUACAGCUCUCAUACCAAAAGUUAUAAGGUCUAUUUUCCACAAACGAAUAAGUUCGAAAUCUGCAGGGAUGUACACUUGGAGAAGAAAUGGAAUUGGAAUGGAGCUGGAGAGGAUUCCUCUUCAACAUUUCCAGAACCAACUGUCUUAGAGCAGUCCUUGAGCCAUGGAGAUACUGAUUUGGUGGAUGAUCCACCAGUGAGAGGCAGACGACCGCUGUCCAAAAUUUAUUAGCGUUGCAAUGUUGCAGUGUGUGAGCCUGCAACAUUUAAAGAAGCUGCAGAGGAUAUCAAAUGGCAGAAGGCUAUGAAGGAGGAAAUGCAUAUGAUCUACAAGAAUCAUACAUGGGUAUUGGUGGACAAACCCAAGGACAGAAAAAUUAUUGGUCUUAAAUGGGUUUUCAGGACUAAGUUGAAUGCGCACAACACGAUCAACAAACAUAAAGCAAGGUUGAUGGGGAAAGGAUACGCUCAGAUAUUUGGAGUGGACUACUCCGACACUUUCACCUCAGUUGCCAGAUUAGAUACAAUUAGAUUACUAAUGCCUAUGCUGGCUCAAAAAGGCUGGAAAGUCUAUCAACUUGAUGUGAAGUCAGUCUUUCUCAAUGGUUAUUUGCAGGAGGAGAUUUAUGUUGAGCAUCCUGAAGGAUUUGUUAUAGAGAGAGAAGAAGACAAGGUGUAUCUGCUCAAAAAAGCUCUUUACGGUCUCAAAUAAACUCCCAAAGCUUGGUAUAAUCGCAUUGAUGAG